rnacentral:rRNA from 1 species
CCUUGUACUGGGGGAUAGCCUUUAGAAAUGAAGAUUAAGACCCCAUAACGUAUUUAUGCCGCAUCAUUUAUACUAAAGGUUACGGUACAAGAUGAGUAUGCGUCCUAUUAGCUAGUUGGUAUGGUAACGGCAUACCAAGGCAACGAUAGGUAGGGGCCCUGAGAGGGGGAUCCCCCACACUGGUACUGAGACACGGACCAGACUCCUACGGGAGGCAGCAGUGAGGAAUAUUGGACAAUGGGGGCAACCCUGAUCCAGCCAUGCCGCGUGCAGGAAGGCUGCCCUAUGGGUUGUAAACUGCUUUUGUACGGGAAGAAACACCGCUACGUGUAGCGCUUGACGGUACCGUAAGAAUAAGCAUCGGCUAACUCCGUGCCAGCAGCCGCGGUAAUACGGAGGAUGCAAGCGUUAUCCGGAAUCAUUGGGUUUAAAGGGUCCGUAGUGGGCCGGUCAGUCAGAGGUGAAAUCCUGCAGCUCAACUGUAGAAAUGCCUUUGAUACUGCCGGUCUUGAAUUAUUGUGAAGUGGCUAGAAUAUGUAGUGUAGCGGUGAAAUGCAUAGAUAUUACAUAGAAUACCGAUUGCGAAGCAGGUCACUAACGAUAUAUUGACACUGAUGGACGAAAGCGUAGGUAGCGAACGGGAUUAGAUACCCCGGUAGUCUACGCCGUAAACGAUGGAUACUAGCUGUCCGGCUUCGCUGGGUGG